rnacentral:rRNA from 1 species
UACAGAGGUCUCAAGCGUUGUUCGGAUUCAUUGGGCGUAAAGGGUGCGUAGGUGGGCAGGUAAGUCAGUGGUGAAAUCUCCGGGCUUAACUCGGAAACUGCCAUUGAUACUAUCUUUCUUGAAUACCGUGGAGGUCAGCGGAAUAUGUCAUGUAGCGGUGAAAUGCUUAGAUAUGACAUAGAACACCAAUUGCGAAGGCAGCUUGCUACACUGUUAUUGACACUGAGGCACGAAAGCGUGGGGAUCAAACAGG